CCAUAAUAAUAUAUUUUUUGCAUAAAUAUCUGAUUGGAUUUACUGAGUUUUUUUUAAUUUUUUUAUUCAGAGCUGUGUAGGACACCCUAUAGGAGGUAAAUCCAACAGCCCAAUACUGAAUGAUAAUCACAUAUCAUCUUAUCGAGUAAGUACAUCAUACAAUAUACAAAGUGGGAAUCCGCCAUUACAAAUGAUCACAAGUCAUAUAUAACAAAUAAUACACUGCUGAUUAAAGGGACACUAUAGUCACCGGAACAACUACAGCUUAAUGUAGUUGUUCAGGUAUGAUCUAUAGCUCCCUGCAGGCAAUCUAAUGUAAACACUGUAUUUUCUGUAUUAUCUGUAUUAUCACCUUUAACUCAGUCAUUAUCAGAUUAAUACUUGGCUGGUGCAGGGUUUUAUUAUAAUACCUGCAAUUUGUAGAUUAACAAUUAUCGCUUUGCUAAUAAUUUUCUAAAAUCUUUUUACAUCUGUAUAAGUGUUAUCGAUGCUGUUCUGUUUUAAAAUCACUUUUCCCCCUCCAUUAUUAUGAUUAGUAUUAGUAUUUAUAUCAGGCAAACAUAUUCCACAGCACGUUACAAUUAUAGAAAGUGGAAGGCGUGAAGAAGGCCGUGCUCAAAUGACCUUUCAAUCUAUGAAAAUUUGAGCCCAUUCAUUUUACAAAACACAUUAAAUUCUCAGCUGAUGUCACUGCUAUACAAAGCAAUAUUGAGAAAAAGAUAAAGGGACCGCUCACUGCAGUGAUCUUUAUUUAGUAAUAUUCCAAAGAAGAAGGAGAGUGAAGUUGUUUUUUUAUUUUUUAAAACUUCAGAAAUGCUUUCAGAUACACAAAUAAAAUUUAUUGGGGCAUUCCUCUAAUUUUAUGAAAAAUCGCCUUUUAAUAACUGUUCUUUUUGAAGAUCUUGAGAAUGAGGAUGGGCACCAAAAUGGUCCUUGUUUUACCAGUCUCUUUCUCCCUUUUUGGGGAAUCACUAUUCAGAGAAAAUACAGUGUUUACAUUAAUUGAUAGGAAUAUCUCCAGUGGCUGUCACUCAGACGGCCACCAGAGGGACUUCCUAUCAUGUAGGGCCCUAAAAAGUUCUGCUGUAUACCCUAUGAGUAAAGCAGAGCAUUCAUUGUAUUGCCCUGUUAGAAUUACAUUUUAAAAAUGAUCUGUAUCGGUUUAUGGUUCUUCUUAGACUUCAUAGAAUUUCGAAAUACCAUUCAUCGAGUUGUUGGAGAUGUCAUAAAGAAUUAUGAACUAUUGACCACAUUUGGUGGGACUGUGAGGGAAUACAUGAUUUGAAAAGAAAACUGUUUCUAAAGGAACCAAGUCAA